AGGACGAACGCUGGCGGCGUGCUUAACGACAUGCAAGUCGAACGGAAAGGCCCUUCGGGGUACUCGAGUGGCGAACGGGUGAGUAACACGUGAGCAAUCUGCCCCUAGCUCUGGGAUAGCUCCGGGAAACCGGGAUUAAUACCAGAUAUUACUACGGCCGACAUCAGCUGUGGUGGAAAGAAUUUCGGCUAGGGAUGAGCUCGCGGCCUAUCAGCUUGUUGGUGGGGUAAAGGCCCACCAAGGCGACGACGGGUAGCCGGCCUGAGAGGGCGACCGGCCACACUGGGACUGAGACACGGCCCAGACUCCUACGGGAGGCAGCAGUGGGGAAUAUUGGACAAUGGGCGCAAGCCUGAUCCAGCCAUGCCGCGUGAGUGAUGACGGCCUUAGGGUUGUAAAGCUCUUUCGCUAGGGACGAUAAUGACGGUACCUAGACAAGAAGCCCCGGCUAACUUCGCGCCAGCAGCCGC
rnacentral:rRNA from 1 species